GAAUGUUCAGGAGCUCCAAAGAGCUCUAACCCUAAACUCAACUAAAUCACCAAAUUGAAGGAUGAUUCAUGGCUUAAAUUCGUGAAGGAACAUGGAUUAAUGAUCACCAUCACAAGGGAAUCAUAAGGAAUCAUGUCGAGACGGAAUCAAGCACGGAAGGCUAACGGGUCAAGAAGUAGCGAGGAAACGGAUAUGAACACGGAUGCAUGAGGUUAUACGAAUCACGGGCGGUUAUCAUGAGGAGUAGAGAUCGAAGACCGAGUCACAAGAUAGAUUGUACGGGAAUAAUUGAGUAUGUACUUUAGUAAGCAGGACUUACACUUUGUUUUUGUAAAAGAUACAUAUUAAAAUGAACUUACAAGUAGGUCAAGAUGUUUGUAAUG